rnacentral:rRNA from 1 species
GCUAACUCCGUGCCAGCAGCCGCGGUAAUAUGGAGUAUCCAAGCGUUAUCCGGAGUUAUUUGGUGUAAAGGGGGCGCAGGCGGAAUGUUAAGUCGGCGGUGAAAUUUUGCAGCUCAACUGUAAAAGUGCCUUCGAAACUGGCCUUCUUGAGUAUGGAUGAAGUAGGCGGAAUUUGUGGUGUAGCGGUGAAAUGCAUAGAUAUCACGAGGAACUCCGAUUGCGCAGGCAGCUUACUAAACCAUAACUGACGCUCAUGCACGAAGGCGUGGGGAUCGAACAGGAUUAGAUACCCUAGUAGUC